rnacentral:rRNA from 1 species
UACAGAGGUCCCAAGCGUUGUUCGGAUUCACUGGGCGUAAAGGGUGCGUAGGCGGCCAGGUAAGUCCGGUGUGAAAGCUCGGAGCUUAACUCCGAAAUGGCAUUGAAUACUAUCUGGCUAGAGGGUCGGAGGGGAGACUGGAAUUCUCGGUGUAGCAGUGAAAUGCGUAGAUAUGUGGAGGAAUACCGAUGGCGAAGGCAGCCCCCUGGGAUAACACUGACGCUCAUGCACGAAAGCGUGGGGAGCAAACAGG